GAGAGCGACGCUGCGCAUGCGCCAGCACCGCCUGCGCGCGCCUGUCUGUUGCGGCCGUGGCUUGGUGGAUUUGCGCUGUGGUUGUUAAUCUUGUAAAGACUCCAGCCAAGGUGCCGGGGAAAUAUGGCCUGUCAUGGGAGAUGCAGUUCUGUCCCUGGACAGAAUGAAACACUGACCUCAGAGGAAGUGACUAAGGACAGAUGUGCCCGUGAAUCUCACAUCUUGUGCUGACAGAGAUGGGAGCCCGAGCAUUCUGUUUGCUUCCACAAGCUCCAGUAACAGGGUGCUUUGCCUUGCUGUACUCUUCAAGAAAGAAAUUUAUUCUGCAACAUGCAACUUUCAUCUUUCUGAGAUGCUUUCCUCCUUGAUUCCUUAUCUGUGAAGGACUAGCAGAAGGAAAGGCAAGAACUUGAAAACACCCUGGUGGGUUUUGAGAGGGUGAGGUUAAAGUGGAGUAUAAUAGAAUUGUUAAAUAGUUAAAGUUUCAGCAGUGCUUUUUUUUAUUUGUUUUAUUCUAAAGAGACUAACUAAAGAUUUAGACUACAAAUUGACUUAGAAUGAGGGCAGUGCAAAAAAAGGAAACCAGUGACCUACUUAAAAGAAAUUAAAAU